CUUUUCUCCUUCUCUUUCCUUAAUUUUUUUUCUUUACCCUUUUUUCACGCCAUUGAAAGAUUUCCUUCUUUUAAAUUUUUUUCUUUUGCACGAUUUUAACAAGAUUUGAUAAGGAUAGUGUUCCUCUAUUUCAGGAAUUUAGGUCCAAAUUUCAUAACGAUCGGUGAAGAUGGCGGAUAUUUUGAAAAAAAAAAACGGUUGAAGAAAAUUUCUUCUCCAAAAGAACAAAAAAUAAAAAAAUACGAGAAGAAAAGAAAAGUCAAUGGAAUUACAGAAUAAAGCAAUGUUGAUGAUGAUAUUGAGAACUCUUCUGCUAGUGAAUUUGAAGAAGAAAUAAAAGAAGAGGCGUUCCUACGGCUGAGUUCAAUCCCAACGUACUUCGUACAAGAUAUGCUUCACUAUUGUGGGGACUAUGAUAAGAGAAAACAAGAAGCAAAAGCUCAAAGUGAUGAUGAAGCACCAUUGAGGUCGGUUAGGAAAAGCAAGAUAACUAGUGUCAUAGAAGUUUUAGAAGUCUGAUUGUUCGUGGUUUUAUUACAUUGCAUCGUUGUUAAGAUUUAUCUGGAUGUUGGUAUUAAUUGUAGAAACUUUUUUUUAUGUUUUGUAGU